rnacentral:rRNA from 1 species
UACGAAGGGGGCUAGCGUUGUUCGGAAUUACUGGGCGUAAAGGGCGCGUAGGCGGUGUGUCAAGUCAGGCGUGAAAGCCCCGGGCUCAACCUGGGAACAGCGCUUGAGACUGGCACGCUCGAGUUCGGGAGAGGAUGGUGGAAUUCCCAGUGUAGAGGUGAAAUUCGUAGAUAUCUGGAGGAAUACCGGUGGCGAAGGCGGCAUCCUGGACCGGCAUUGACGCUGAUGAGCGAAAGCUAGGGGAGCAAACGGG